AUGGACGCCAAGAGCGUGUCAUGUUUGACAAGAUCACAUCACGCAUCCAGAAGCUCUGCUAUGGGCUCAACGCUGACUUUGUCGAUCCCGCCCAGAUCACCAUGAAAGUGAUUCAGGGACUGUACAGUGGUGUCACAACGGUGGAACUGGAUACACUGGCUGCUGAAACGGCUGCAACCCUGACCACCAAACACCCUGACUACGCUAUCCUGGCAGCAAGGAUUGCAGUGUCCAAUUUGCACAAAGAAACUAAGAAAGUAUUCAGUGAUGUGAUGGAUGAUCUCUACAACUACAUAAACCCUCACAACGGGAAGCACUCACCAAUGAUCUCCAAAGAAACCCUAGACGUAGUUUUGGCCAACAAAGAUCGUCUGAAUUCUGCCAUUAUCUAUGACAGAGACUUCUCCUACAACUAUUUUGGUUUUAAGACUCUUGAACGCUCCUACUUGCUGAAAAUCAACUCAAAAGUUGCUGAGCGUCCUCAACAUAUGUUGAUGAGGGUAUCAGUGGGGAUCCACAAAAAUGACAUUGAUGCUGCAAUUGAAACUUACAAUCUUCUGUCUGAAAGGUGGUUUACCCAUGCCUCCCCCACGUUAUUCAAUGCAGGCACCAACCGGCCUCAGCUUUCCAGUUGUUUCCUGCUGUGCAUGAAGGAUGACAGCAUUGAGGGAAUCUAUGACACGCUGAAGCAGUGUGCACUGAUCUCAAAGUCUGCUGGUGGGAUUGGCCUUGCUGUGAGCUGUAUCCGAGCCACGGGCAGCUAUAUUGCGGGGACAAAUGGAAAUUCCAACGGGCUUGUUCCAAUGCUGAGGGUCUACAACAACACUGCCCGUUAUGUGGAUCAAGGUGGAAACAAGAGACCUGGGGCUUUUGCCAUCUACCUGGAGCCAUGGCAUUUGGACAUCUUUGAGUUUCUUGACUUAAAGAAGAACACUGGGAAAGAAGAGCAGCGAGCCAGAGACCUUUUCUUUGCCCUCUGGAUUCCUGAUCUCUUCAUGAAGCGAGUUGAAACCAACCAGGACUGGUCCUUAAUGUGUCCAAAUGAGUGUCCUGGCCUAGAUGAGGUUUGGGGAGAGGAAUUUGAGAAACUAUAUGAGAGUUAUGAGAAGCAAGGCCGUGUCCGCAGAGUGGUGAAGGCCCAGCAGCUCUGGUAUGCUAUCAUUGAAUCUCAGACAGAGACUGGCACACCGUACAUGCUGUACAAAGACUCUUGCAACCGGAAGAGCAAUCAGCAGAACUUAGGGACCAUCAAAUGCAGCAAUCUGUGUACAGAAAUAGUGGAGUAUACCAGCAAAGAUGAGGUUGCAGUUUGUAAUUUGGCCUCUAUAGCCCUGAACAUGUACGUCACUUCAGAGCAUACAUACGAUUUCAAGAAGCUAGCUGAAGUCACUAAAGUUAUUGUCCGAAACCUGAACAAAAUCAUUGACAUCAACUACUACCCUGUGCCAGAGGCUGAACGCUCCAACAGACGCCACCGUCCCAUUGGCAUUGGUGUGCAGGGCCUGGCAGAUGCUUUUAUCUUGAUGAGGUACCCAUUUGAAAGUCCUGAGGCCCAGCGCUUGAACCAGCACAUUUUUGAAACCAUUUAUUAUGGUGCUUUGGAAGCCAGCUGUGAACUUGCCAAGGAGCAAGGACCAUAUGAAACAUAUGAGGGUUCUCCUGUCAGCGAAGGAAUUCUUCAGUAUGACAUGUGGAAUGUCACCCCGUCUGAUCUUUGGGACUGGAAGGCUUUAAAGGAGAAAAUUGCUAAAUAUGGUGUCAGAAACAGCCUUCUCCUUUCUCCCAUGCCAACUGCUUCUACUGCUCAGAUCUUGGGCAAUAAUGAAUCCAUUGAGCCCUACACCAGUAACAUCUACACACGCAGAGUCCUCUCAGGAGAGUUUCAGGUUGUGAAUCCACACUUGCUGAAAGAUCUCACAGAGAGGGGGCUGUGGAAUGAGGAGAUGAAAAACCAAAUCAUUGCCCACAAUGGCUCUAUCCAGAAUAUACCUGAGAUUCCUGAUGACUUGAAGCAACUGUAUAAGACAGUGUGGGAGAUCUCCCAGAAGACUGUCCUCAAGAUGGCAGCAGACAGAGGGGCUUUCAUUGAUCAGAGCCAGUCUCUCAACAUCCAUAUUGCAGAACCCAACUAUGGCAAACUCACCAGCAUGCACUUCUAUGGGUGGAAGCAGGGUCUGAAGACUGGCAUGUACUACCUAAGGACAAAACCAGCUGCUAACCCCAUCCAGUUCACCCUGAACAAAGAGAAACUCAGAGAGCGGGAGAAGGCCUCCAAGGAAGAGGAAGAGAAGGAGAGGAAUAAAGCAGCCAUGGUGUGCUCCCUGGAGAACCGGGAUGAGUGUAUGAUGUGUGGCUCCUAAUGGAUCUGCUCUGCAGUGCCAGCAAAGCCAUUCCACCUGGCUGGAGUCCUUCUAAGAUAGAAGCAUCUAGUAUAACUUCGGGAUGUAGAGGCUUGCUGGAACUGUGGCAGGAGGGGUGAUCACAGUAGUGUCUUGUAGCUUCCCCAUCCAAUUGGGGGUUGGUGCACAGAUUUGGGCUUGAGGUAAACAUGAGGAAGGGGCUGAAGUAAUGCCAAGUCUGUGUUUCGGUAACGUGCAAAGGAGGUAUGCUGAGUUCACAGGGCAAAUCUGGGACUGUGCUAGAGGGUGCAGCAACACUGGACAGAUGAAAUGAGGCUGCUCAGGUGUGGGUAGCACUGAAGACAAACCAUAUACAAGCAUGCAAGGCACAGUCCUCGAUGCUGGUGCUGUUUGGUGGGGGUCUGAAAAGGAUGGGUCCUGCCAGAUGAGACCCAGACAGCACCCCUUGCAGGUAUGCUGAUCCAGAGACAGCAUUACUCUUCAGAUUUGGUCCAAGAUAUAAACCCCUAAUUUUUUUUCCACCCAUGCACUGCUGGCUGGUGCUCAGUGAACCCUGUUUGCAUCUUCCUUCCUACUACCAUAGUCUAGAGUUGAAGAGAAGUGCCCUGGUUUCUGUCCCUUAAGGUUUUCUAUAUGCUCAGCUCCCAAUGCUUUGCCUUCAGAUGCCAUGACUCAGGCACGUGUUUUGUUCAGGGUAAAGAAGUAAGCCCACUGCUACAGUAGUGCAAAAGGAAAUAUUCACAGCAUGGGUUUUGGCUUUGAUAGAGCUAGGAUGCUUUGGGAAUCUUGAUCACUUUAUGGAGGGGAUUAUCUGCCAGGCUGAGAGCUGAGACCUGAGCCCUGACACAGCCAGUCCUCUCUGUCCUGCGGCUCUCAGGAGUUGCCAGUAUACAAAAUACAUGUGUAUAUUGUCCAGAGAGCACACAGCGUGGAGCACUCACCCUUCUCCAUCCAUCUCUCCUGUCUUCCCCUUGUUUAGGUAGCAGGGAGCUCUGUCCCUGCAAACAGCCCCCAUCAGGUCUGGUGGAUGGGGAUGCUGCUAGCGCACAGAGGGAUCCAGGGAAGAGGCUGGAUUGGGGAGCCUUUGCUGUGAGAUGUAUGUUUCUGUUUGCUCUGGGAGGAUGAGCGUCUGUCUGAGUGUUGGCAAAGAAUCACUUAAGUGCAAUUAACAACACAAGCCGUUUUAGAGCAGGGAGGUGGAGAUUAAAUUGAUUCAGCAUUGGCUGAAGCAUCCCAGAUUUUGUGAAUUUAUCUUAGUGAAUCCCUUCCACUCCGCUAUUUCUUUGAUAAAAAUAUAAAUCUUUGCUUUCCUACUGUGAGCUGAGCUCCAGUCCUGCCCCAGCACUGGCGAAAGAUCGGAGCAGGAGGGGGUGCCUGGGCACGCUCCACACCGGGAUCCCCACCGGACGGCAGCGUGGGAGCCCGAGCCUCCUUUCAGUAAGAGUUAAGGGAAGGUUGCGGGUCACCACAGACCCCUGCCGUCACCAACAUCGUGGCAUAUAACCCCCAAAUGCAGAACUCCAAAUGCCUUCUGGAGACCAGUUUGGUUGUUUUCUCCUUCUAUGUGGCUGCUCCUGCAUCUCGUUGCUCUGACAGUGAGUCUAGUUUGCUGUCUGGGGCUUGACAGCAACCUUUCUUUUACAUCGCUUGUCUGCUUCCUGAGCACCCGCCAGCCGAGCAGCCCAGCCCUCUCCUGCUCUCCUUCGGCCAGAGCAAACCAAGCGCUGCCAGCACCAUUUCGCAGGAAAGGGCUCCGUGCUCAGCCAGGUCCAGCGUGGCUAGAGCAGGGCUACGGAGGACGGGGUUUCUCCUCGGGAGUGUCCCGUAGUGCAGGGUCACUUGGUGGCCACUUUCCUGCAUGGAAAGGCACUCGCCAGGACCGAGGCACGGCGGCAGCGAGGCGUUCCCAGACCACGACCGGCAACUCGGCGGUUUCACCCCCGGCAAAGCUGUUUAUUGCAGUUCCUGACACGGUGCUUGGGGGUGUCCGUGAGAGCUGGGCGUCCCAGGGGAGCCCAGUUUUUAAGACAUGACUCAGGCAGCAUCAGUCAGUCCCACGAGCUCAGCAGGGAAACGUGCUCCGAGCCUCUGUGCAACUUCCCUGCAGCCUUGACCCAGAAAGGCUCAUUUUAAACACAUCCUCAGGGUUGUGAACGUCAACAAACUGACUCGUCAACAAUGUGUAGCCACCAAAACACCCGAUGGGAGAGGAAUGUCGUUGUGACUUCCCUUGGGAGAAGAGUGGGCAGGUGUCCCAGGGCUGGGGAGUCUGACUCCAUCUGAAAUGGGAGGUGAUGGUGCAGACCGGGAGCUGCUUGAGUAAUACCUUCAAGGGCCACAACCCUGCACUACAAAGGGUACUGGGACAAAAAGCCAUCCCUGCAAAAACACGCAGAAAGGGUGAAGGAGGAGGUGAUGGAUGUGGACACCAAAAGAGUGGGGUGGAGGCAAAGGAGGAGGAGGAAUGAUGGGCAAUGAGAAAGGCGGCUCGAGGAUUUAGGACUUGGACCCAAACCCAGCUCUCUCAGGGCACCCCAAAUCCCUGCCAGCCUGGGACCUCUGCUCACACAGGGCCACAUCCCAGAGCCCUGGGGUGCACCCCAUAAAUGGGGAAGGAGCAUUAAUGGGGGACUCUGCCAACGCACAGCCAGAGGCUGAAGAUAGAGCUCGUGCCCGUCAGCUUGGUUUCACAGGAGGCAGGUUUCUGGCAAGGAAACAGGUUGUUUUUUCCUGCAGGAUUAUAUGUUCCUCCACUGUAGUGUGUGGGCUUCACCACAGGUGGAUUUCUCCACGGUUUCUGACAGAGAGCUCUAAACCUUGCUCUGUGAGGGAUGAGCGGGGAGCACCGGAGGAUGCAGUGGCUCAUGAGUCACUUGCGCUGCUCAAGGCAGCGUUAUUAAUUGGGUGGCCUCGAGGCUCUUUGCAGCAAGGAUUUCCAGCAAUUGCUUCCUCCUCCACUUUAUUAAACAUUUUUGUUGGCAAUCUGGAUGUCAGUAUCAGGUCUUGAAACCUCUCUCCUCUGGUCCCCUGCGAUAAAUCCCCAUCCCCCCCUGGGUGACACCUCCAGCCUUGGGCUGUCAGCAGAUUUCAUCAGCCCCUGCAGUCUCUGAUAAGGUCCUUAAUGGCAACAUCAAAUGAGUCCCAGGAUGUCCACUCCUGAUGUCCAUGUCCCUUGUUGGUGCUGCCUGAUACCAUCUCUCCUGGUCCCUGCUCCUCUGACGAUUCC